rnacentral:lncRNA from 1 species
AAAUCUAGCCUCAUAAAAAUAUUUCUGACUUAUCCUCCAAUUUUCAUAAUUUUCUGAGACUGUGCAUUUUCUGCUAAUUUAUCUGUCCCGUUUCUCACAGAAAAUUCUAAAUCUUCUGUUUUCGCUCCGAUUUCAGCACAGAUCAUACCCAACCUAUAUUUCACUUCUCUAAAUCAAAUAAAAAUAGUAUCUCAUACAAUAUUUAUUUAUUUUUAUUUUUAUACUUAAAUCCGGUAUAUUACAUUACACCGCAACUUUACCGAAACCAUUCAAAUGGCUCUCCAAUCAAAUGGACACCG